rnacentral:rRNA from 1 species
AACCUAAUGGCUCUUUCAUGAUUAUAUGAUAGGUGGUGCAUGGCCGUUCUUAGUUCGUGGAGUGAUCUGUCUGCUUAAUUGCGUUUCAAAUUUUUAUUUGAGGACCAGGUUUUGGUUUGGGUACUGGUCCUACGAUGACUGUGAACUGUCAUGUCUUCGGAUGUGCGACUAUCGGUCUAGGAUCGCAUCUCAGCCCCUGGGACUCUUUUGAACGCAACG